GACGAACGCUGGCGGCGUGCCUAAUACAUGCAAGUAGAACGCUGAAGAGAGGAGCUUGCUCUUCUUGGAUGAGUUGCGAACGGGUGAGUAACGCGUAGGUAACCUGCCUUGUAGCGGGGGAUAACUAUUGGAAACGAUAGCUAAUACCGCAUAACAAUGGAUGACCCAUGUCAUUUAUUUGAAAGGGGCAAAUGCUCCACUACAAGAUGGACCUGCGUUGUAUUAGCUAGUAGGUGAGGUAACGGCUCACCUAGGCGACGAUACAUAGCCGACCUGAGAGGGUGAUCGGCCACACUGGGACUGAGACACGGCCCAGACUCCUACGGGAGGCAGCAGUAGGGAAUCUUCGGCAAUGGGGGCAACCCUGACCGAGCAACGCCGCGUGAGUGAAGAAGGGUUUCGGAUCGGAAAGCUCUGUUGUAAGUCAAGAACGAGUGUGAGAGUGGAAAGUUCACACUGUGACGGUAGCUUACCAGAAAGGGACGGCUAACUACGUG
rnacentral:rRNA from 1 species